UGUGUACUCCCUCCGUUCCAAAAUACUUGACUUCCAUUUGUCCAAAAAUGGAUGUACCUAUAUACUAAGACAUGUCUAGAUACAUAUAUAUUUUGACAAAUAGAAGACAUGUAGUAUUGUGCAACGGAGGGAGUAGAAU
rfam:Triticum aestivum genome assembly, contig: Triticum_aestivum_CS42_TGACv1_scaffold_380981_5AL